AUUGAACGCUGGCGGCAGGCCUAACACAUGCAAGUCGAGCGGAUGAAGGGAGCUUGCUCCUGGAUUCAGCGGCGGACGGGUGAGUAAUGCCUAGGAAUCUGCCUGGUAGUGGGGGAUAACGUCCGGAAACGGGCGCUAAUACCGCAUACGUCCUGAGGGAGAAAGUGGGGGAUCUUCGGACCUCACGCUAUCAGAUGAGCCUAGGUCGGAUUAGCUAGUUGGUGGGGUAAAGGCCUACCAAGGCGACGAUCCGUAACUGGUCUGAGAGGAUGAUCAGUCACACUGGAACUGAGACACGGUCCAGACUCCUACGGGAGGCAGCAGUGGGGAAUAUUGGACAAAGGGCGAAAGCCUGAUCCAGCCAUGCCGCGUGUGUGAAGAAGGUCUUCGGAUUGUAAAGCACUUUAAGUUGGGAGGAAGGCCAGUAAGUUAAUACCUUGCUGUUUUGACGUUACCAACAGAAUAAGCACCGGCUAACUUCGUG
rnacentral:rRNA from 1 species